rnacentral:lncRNA from 1 species
CAGGAGAGUACAAACAGUAUAGAAAUGGUUUCCUUUUCACCGUUGAAAUCCUUUGCAGUGACAUUCUAGAAAAUGCCGAGAGUCCUCUAUGGGGAGAGUUGGUCACUAUUUUAAAGGUGGCUUGAAAUACAUGGGCUAAUCUAGGAGAGAAGACUAAACCCAGGCUAAGACUAUAAUUGGGAAAGAGUCAGCAGUCACUCCUGUUAGGCAGGAUAGGGGAGAGGGGAACGUUUGAUCAUUUCUGUAGUCAGACAGUGUUCAUGUUUUGUCUGUGUUCAGACAUAGUUACGAAGUGGUCUUGUCUUUGUCUUGGUCCAUCCUGGUCACAGAAUGGCUUCAUCUGAUGUUGACACUCUGUGAAAUGCUUUAUGUUCAACAGGAGAACACCAAGGCCUCACUGAGAGUGUCAGACGAGUCUGGAUGGCAGGGGUUACAUGCUGUCCCUCAACCGAGUGCCAUCUCACCCGGGACCCAUCAUAGCCCAUGCAGGACCCAUCGGUUCAUCUUCUGCUGCAGCGUUCAUAGUUCUAGAGCCUGGACCUUGGAUGCAAAAUUGGUAUUAUUUUCUAAAAAGUCCUGUAUCUUCCAAGUGGAGGUCAUCUGCUGGCACAAGCCGGACUGCACCAUCUGAGUUUCUCACCUUUUGGUCCAUCAGUUCAUUAUAAAAAUGGCAGAAAAAUGUGGUAAAGCAGCAUUGACCUCCCAUGAUCACAGCUGACCACUGACCACAGUGAGUGUCCCCACCCCAUAUAGGGAACUGCUGGUUGAGUCUGUGCGCUGGGUUAUUCAAAGCCCUCUUGCUAA